CCUCUCUGUAGUACGUAUUAAUUUGAUUUCUAUUUGCUCUUUGUAGCACAAGUUUUUGUUUUUUUUUUUUCUUAUCUAAUUUUCUUUCAUUUUCCGUGUUGAUGAUAUUCACAUGGCUGUGUGAUUACUGAUUAGCCUGUGUCUGUCACAGGUCCAUGUGGUCAGUCCGUAUAAAUUUCGAGAAUCGUGUGGUUUGAAAUUUGAGAGAUAAUUUGUCAAUUUCACAAUUUUAACAUUUAUGUCCCCUACAGACAAAACUUCAAAUGCAAUCAAACCAAUAUACAAUUUAAGCAUAUAAAUCCCUCAUAGCACUUGACAUCUUAUCAUACACCACAAGCAUAAUAAGAUUUUGAUUAAGUUGUCAAAAUGCUAAAGAUUGUGUUUUAGUCCUCAUACC
rnacentral:lncRNA from 1 species